UAUGGGGGGAUUGGGAAGGAA
rnacentral:miRNA from 1 species